ensembl:misc_RNA Metazoa_SRP Metazoan signal recognition particle RNA
GCCGGGUGUGGUGGCGCACGCCUGUAGUCCCAGUGACUUGGGAGGCUGAGGCGGGAGAAUCACUUGAACCUGGGAGGCAGAGGUUGCAGCGAGCCAAGAUGGCACCACUGCAUUCCAGCCUGGGUGACAGAGUGAGAACCUGUCUCUU